CCUACGGGUGGCAGCAGUGGGGAAUAUUGGGCAAUGGGCGCAAGCCUGACCCAGCAACGCCGCGUGAACGAAGAAGGCUUUCGGGUUGUAAAGUUCUUUUCUCAGGGACGAAAGAAGUGAUGGUAGCUGACGAAUAAGCCACCGCCAACUACGUGCCAGCAGCCGCGGUAAUACGUAGGUGGGAAGCGUGCUCCCGAUAUACUGGGUGUAAAGGGCGUGUAGGUGGGAAAACAAGUCAGUUGUGAAAACCGUGGGCUCAAACUGAGGAGUGCAGUUGAAACUGUUAUACUUGAGUACUGGAGAGGCAGGCGGAAUUCCAAGUGUAGCGGUAAAAUGCGUAGAUAUUAGGAGGAACACCAGUGGCGAAGGCGGUUUGCUGGACAGCAACUGACGUUGAGGCGCGAAAGCGUGGGGAGCAAACAGGAUUAGAUACCCCAGUAGUC
rnacentral:rRNA from 1 species